rnacentral:rRNA from 1 species
AUUGAACGCUGGCGGCAGGCCUAACACAUGCAAGUCGAACGGUAACAGGAAGCAGCUUGCUGCUUUGCUGACGAGUGGCGGACGGGUGAGUAAUGUCUGGGAAACUGCCUGAUGGAGGGGGAUAACUACUGGAAACGGUAGCUAAUACCGCAUAACGUCGCAAGACCAAAGAGGGGGACCUUAGGGCCUCUUGCCAUCGGAUGUGCCCAGAUGGGAUUAGCUAGUAGGUGGGGUAACGGCUCACCUAGGCGACGAUCCCUAGCUGGUCUGAGAGGAUGACCAGCCACACUGGGACUGAGACACGGUCCAGACUCCUACGGGAGGCAGCAGUGGGGAAUAUUGCACAAUGGGCGCAAGCCUGAUGCAGCCAUGCCGCGUGUAUGAAGAAGGCCUUCGGGUUGUAAAGUACUUUCAGCGGGGAGGAAGGGAGUAAAGUUAAUACCUUUGCUCAUUGACGUUACCCGCAGAAGAAGCACCGGCUAACUCCGUG